UUCCUUUUAAUUUCUUUAAUUAAUUAAGAAUUAAUGUUUGGGCUGAAAGUUUAAAAAAAAAAUUGGGCUCCAAAGAUGAUUUAAAAAAAAAAAGAGUCCAAAGAGAAAAAAAAACCGGCCAGGCCGGUCAAACCAAGCCCAAACGGGCAGAAAACCGGUUCCAACUGGUCUAAACCGGUUCCAGCCGGUCACCCACUAUAUAAACAACUUUUCCACUCUCUCCCCUCAUUCAUCCCUUCCUAACCCUAGCCGUCCACUUCUUCUCCUUCCUCUCUUCUUUUUCCUCUCUUCUCCCUCACCUAAAACUGAUUUCUUCAUCCUCUGAUCUCCCUCAGCUUCUUCUUCGAUCUCUCUCCCUCACACCGCCGCCAAACAACCAUUUCCCCUCCCUUCCUCUCUUCAAAGAAAUCCUAAAACCCUUCCCCCUCCCUUCUCCAUGAAACCCCAAAACCCUUCCCUCUCCAUUCACGAAAUCCGGCCACCAAACAACCACCACCGCCACCAAACAACCACAUGCAGUCACCACCGGCCACCAAACAACCACCACCGCCACCAUAGAGCCUCAAUCUGCCCCCACAUGCAAGCCGAUUUGAGAUCGGAGCAAAAACGACCGGAUCGGAGCUCCUGUUCUUCCCUUUCAGCUUCUGUGUUUUUUUUAUUUUUUUUCUAUGUAAAAAAAUUUAUCUUCUGUUGUAAAUAAAUUUGUACAUCUUCUUUCUUCUAAAACAUUUCAUUAUAAUUUUGUAUUUAUUUUAUUGUUGAAUAAAAUUUCUGGAAUUCUGGUUUAA